UUUAACGGCCGCGGUAUUCUGACCGUGCAAAGGUAGCGCAAUCACUAGCCUUUUAAUUGAAGGCCCGUAUGAAUGGCUAAACGAGGGUUCAACUGUCUCCUUGUCCCAGUCAAUGAAACUGAUCUCCCCGUGCAGAAGCGGGGAUCCCCACACAAGACGAGAAGACCCUAUGAAGCUUUAGACGAAAGUGAACUCGGACUAUUGCUGGCUUUUCUUCAAACAGCGGCACCACCCAAUCCCUUUACUCUGUCUUCGGUUGGGGCGACCUAGGAGGAAAGUCCAGCCUCCUUGUGAUUAGGGGCAAAACCCCUACCACCCAGAACUACAAUUCCGGGCAGCAGAACCCUGACUUUAUAGACCCGGCAAUCUGCCGAUCAACGGAACGAGUUACUCUAGGGAUAACAGCGCAAUCC
rnacentral:rRNA from 1 species